AUAAGGGAUAUACAAAUCAUCAAAACAAAUUAACAUCCCUAAAGUCCAAAGAUGAAGACCAUAUUACUCUUAAUAUUCCUUCCCUUGGCAACUUGCGCCACCACCACUGACACUCCCAACAACCAACGAUUGAUAGAUGUACUCGAUACUAAGGGCAAACCCGUCAAGUCAGGCAAUAGGUACCGGAUACUUCCGACUCACUAUACUAUGGAUGGCGGAGGCAUACGUCUUGCCAAUAUUGGUGAUCAACAAAACACUACUUGUCCUACAUCAAUAGUACAAGCUCACCCUGUUACAGACCUUGGUAUCCUGGUUUAUUUUAUACCUGACCCUCUUAGUACACAUCAAAAUAUUUCGGUGGCCUCUCGGCUAAACAUCCAUUUCUAUUUUGAUUCUCCUUUGUGUUUGAACCUGUGUGGAAGGUUGACAACAUUGGAUCACAUUUGCCACCACUUCCACAGACCAUAAGCACAGGUGCAAAGUUGGGAGAUCGACUUGAUCUGAGCAGCUGGUUCCAAAUUUGGCUUUUAGGUGGUAACUAUCAGCUAGUGUUCUGUCUCGAACGCGUUGUUGAUUGCAAAUACAUUGGCAUCGUCCUGCAAAAUGGAUAUCGUCGUUUGAUUGUUCUCUCAGAGGACCCAAUAAUGCCCGUUCUGUUCAAACUGGAUGAUAAAUUUGGACUGGCAGCCGAUGCAUGAUCUCGUCAUGUUAUGUCUAGAUCUACUCUAUGUAAGUUUGGCGGAUGAUGAUGGUGAUGUUGGAAGGUGGAGCUGAUGGAUGGAGAACAAGAAGGUUUAAAAAAAUUACAAAAGAAAAAAAACUUACCAAUGGUUCUUAUGAGGUGGAAUUUAAGGAGUAACAAGGCGGACACAUGACAUAACCUGGCGUCAGAAGUCAAUUUUGAUCUUCCGAUCAUUUGCAGAUUAGAGAAAUUCAUACAUGGUUCAAUUCUUUAAUUCGAUAAAAGCAAAACGUUCUUACUUCAUUAUUAUUUUAAUAAAGUUUAGUGACCA